CCCGAUCAAUGGGGGUGCCUUAAAAUUUCAGGCUGAGAUCAAACCCUUCGAACCUCGUCCGGGUAAUUCCAGAUAGGGAAAAGAGUAAAAUCAAAC
rnacentral:ncRNA from 1 species